rnacentral:rRNA from 1 species
CCUACGGGGUGCAGCAGUGAGGAAUAUUUGUCAAUGGCCGGAAGGCUGAACCAGCCAUGCCGCGUGAAGGUCAGUGCCCUAUGGGCGUUAAACUUCUUUUGUGCGGGAGCAAUAAUGGUCACGUGUGGCCAGACGAGAGUACCGUACGAAUAAGCAUCGGCUAACUCCGUGCCAGCAGCCGCGGUCAUACGGGGGAUGCAAGCGUUAUCCGGAUUUAAUGGGUUUAAAGGGUGCGUAGGCUGUGAGGUAAGUCAGCGGUGAAAUGCACCCGCUCAACGGGGUGAAGUGCCAUUGAUACUGUCUUGCUGGAAUGCGGAUGCCGUGAGAGGAAUGUGCGGUGUAGCGGUGAAAUGCAUAGAUAUCACACAGAACACCGAUUGCGAAGGCAUCUCACGAAUCCGCGAUUGACGCUGAUGCACGAAAGCGUGGGUAUCAAACAGGAUUAGAUACCCCUGUAGUC